GUUUGACUGGAUAAGAAGGCAGAGGUUGGGAAGGAAGAGCAAAAAGGGAAUGUGGGGAAUGUGGAGAUGAACUGCUUACUGUCCAUAUUGCCAACUUCCAGUCAUGGGCUUCAGUACAAACAAAGUCUGUCACCACACCAGAUGGAAGCCUGCACACCCUUCUACAUCUUUGGUCCUUGGCACUGGGUUUUGUCG